rnacentral:rRNA from 1 species
AUUGAACGCUGGCGGCAGGCUUAACACAUGCAAGUCGAGCGGGGUGAUGGUGCUUGCACUAUCACUUAGCGGCGGACGGGUGAGUAAUGCUUAGGAAUCUGCCUAUUAGUGGGGGACAACAUCUCGAAAGGGAUGCUAAUACCGCAUACGUCCUACGGGAGAAAGCAGGGGAUCACUUGUGACCUUGCGCUAAUAGAUGAGCCUAAGUCGGAUUAGCUAGUUGGUGGGGUAACGGCCUUCCAAGGCGACGAUCUGUAGCGGGUCUGAGAGGCUGAUCCGCCACACUGGGACUGAGACACGGCACAGACUCCUACGGGAGGCAGCAGUGGGGAAUAUUGGACAAUGGGGGGAACCCUGAUCCAGCCAUGCCGCGUGUGUGAAGAAGGCCUUAUGGUUGUAAAGCACUUUAAGCGAGGAGGAGGCUCUUUUGGUUAAUACCCAAGAUGAGUGGACGUUACUCGCAGAAUAAGCACCGGCUAACUCUGUGCCAGCCGCCGCGGUAA